rnacentral:rRNA from 1 species
UACAGAGGUCUCAAGCGUUGUUCGGAUUCAUUGGGCGUAAAGGGUGCGUAGGCGGUGAUUCAAGUCUGGUGUGAAAUCUCGGAGCUCAACUCCGAAAUUGCACCGGAUACUGCGUGACUCGAGGACUGUAGAGGAGAUCGGAAUUCACGGUGUAGCAGUGAAAUGCGUAGAUAUCGUGAGGAAGACCAGUUGCGAAGGCGGAUCUCUGGGCAGUUCCUGACACUGAGGCACGAAGGCCAGGGGAGCAAACGGG